AACACGUGGGCAACCUGCCUGUAAGACUGGGAUAACUUCGGGAAACCGAAGCUAAUACCGGAUAGGAUCUUCUCCUUCAUGGGAGAUGAUUGAAAGAUGGUUUCGGCUAUCACUUACAGAUGGGCCCGCGGUGCAUUAGCUAGUUGGUGAGGUAACGGCUCACCAAGGCAACGAUGCAUAGCCGACCUGAGAGGGUGAUCGGCCACACUGGGACUGAGACACGGCCCAGACUCCUACGGGAGGCAGCAGUAGGGAAUCUUCCGCAAUGGACGAAAGUCUGACGGAGCAACGCCGCGUGAGUGAUGAAGGCUUUCGGGUCGUAAAACUCUGUUGUUAGGGAAGAACAAGUACAAGAGUAACUGCUCGUACCUUGACGGUACCUAACCAGAAAGCCACGGCUAACUACGUGCCAGCAGCCGCGGUAAUACGUAGGUGGCAAGCGUUAUCCGGAAUUAUUGGGCGUAAAGCGCGCGCAGGCGGUUUCUUAAGUCUGAUGUGAAAGCCCACGGCUCAACCGUGGAGGGUCAUUGGAAACUGGGGAACUUGAGUGCAGAAGAGAAAAGCGGAAUUCCACGUGUAGCGGUGAAAUGCGUAGAGAUGUGGAGGAACACCAGUGGCGAAGGCGGCUUUUUGGUCUGUAACUGACGCUGAGGCGCGAAAGCGUGGGGGAGCAAACAGGAUUAGAUACCCUGGGUAGUCCACGCCGUAAACCGAUGAGGUGCUAAGUGUUAGGAGGGUUCUCCCGCCCCUUUUAGUGCUG
rnacentral:rRNA from 2 species